GACGAACGCUGGCGGCGUGCUUAACACAUGCAAGUCGAACGGAAAGGCCCUGCUUUUGUGGGGUGCUCGAGUGGCGAACGGGUGAGUAACACGUGAGUAACCUGCCCUUGACUUUGGGAUAACUUCAGGAAACUGGGGCUAAUACCGGAUAGGAGCUCCUGCUGCAUGGUGGGGGUUGGAAAGUUUCGGCGGUUGUGGAUGGACUCGCGGCUUAUCAGCUUGUUGGUGGGGUAGUGGCUUACCAAGGCUUUGACGGGUAGCCGGCCUGCGAGGGUGACCGGCCACAUUGGUACUGAGAUACGGCCCAGUCUCCUACGGGAGGCAACAGUGGGGAAUAUUGCACAAUGGGCUGAAGCCUGAUGCAGCAACGCCGCGUGCGGGAUGACGGCCUUCGGGUUGUAAACCGCUUUCGCCUGUGACGAAGCGUGAGUGACGGUAAUGUGUAAAGAAGCACCGGCUAACUACGUG
rnacentral:rRNA from 1 species